rnacentral:rRNA from 1 species
UGAAUACGAGAUGCUACGGCAUCGAAGCAGUCUAUGUCAUACUUCCAAGAAAAGCUUGCACUGUCAUAAACAAAUAAUGCCUGUACCAUAACCGACACAGGUGGGUAGGUAGAGUAUACUAAGGGGCGCGAGAUAACUCUCUCUAAGGAACUCGGCAAAAUGACUCCGUAACUUCGGGAGAAGGAGUGCCUUAUUUUAUAAGGUUGCAAUAACAAGAUCCAAGCAACUGUUUACCAAAAACACAGGUCUCCGCUAAGUCGUAAGACGAUGUAUGGGGGCUGACGCCUGCCCAGUGCCAGAAGGUUAAAGAAGUUGGUUAGCAUUAGCGAAGCUGAUAACUGAAGCCCUGGUGAACGGCGGCCGUAACAAUAACGGUCCUAAGGUAGCGAAAUUCCUUGUCGGGUAAGUUCCGACCCGCACGAAAGGCGUAAUGAUUUGGAUACUGUCUCGGAGAGGGGCUCGGUGAAAUAGACUUGUCUGUGAAGAUGCGGACUACCUGCACCAGGACAGAAAGACCCUAUGAAGCUUUACUGUAACUUGAGAUUGAAAUUGGACUUUAUUUGCGCAGUAUAGGUGGGAGACGUUGAAAAUAUUCUUGCGGGAAUAUUGGAGUCAUCAGUGAGAUACCACUCUUAUAAUGUUAGAUUUCUAACUUUGUAUCAUUAUCUGGUCAAAGAACAGUCUCAGGCGGGCAGUUUGACUGGGGCGGUCGCCUCCCAAACGGUAACGGAGGCGCACAAAGGUUUCCUCUGAACGUGUAGAAAUCGUAUCUAGAGUGUAAAGGCAUAAGGAAGCUUGACUGUGAGACCUACAAGUCGAGCAGGGACGAAAGUCGGUCUUAGUGAUCUGACGGUGCUGAGUGGAAAGGCCGUCACUCAACGGAUAAAAGUUACUCUAGGAUAACAGGCUGAUCUCCCCCAAGAGUUCACAUCGACGGGGAGGUUUGGCACCUCGAUGUCGGCUCGUCGCAUCCUGGGGCGGUAGUACGUCCCAAGGGUUGGGCUGUUCGCCCAUGAAAGCGGUACGCGAGCUGGGUUCAGAACGUCGUGAGACAGUUCGGUCCAUAUCCGGUGUAGGCGUUAGAAUAUUGAGAGGAGCCUUCUUUAGUACGAGAGGACCGAGAAGGACAUACCUCUGGUGUACCAGUUAUCGUGCCAACGGUAAACGCUGGGUAGCUAUGUAUGGAGAGGAUAACCGCUGAAAGCAUCUAAGCGGGAAGCCCACCUCAAGAUAAGUAUUCU